AUCAGUCAGUUAGUUGAGUUCUACUAUCAACCAGUUGCAUUCGAGUUGUUAUAACCAUUCAAUCGGGAGCAACUGGAACCUAGCAAUGUCGCAAGUCCAUUCUUUUUUCUCCAAUGACGAAGAAAAUAGGACAUCGGAUGCCAGCAAAACUGUAGGCCGCAUUCUUGGCGAAGUUGUUUUUAUUGGAUUCUUGUAUACUACGCUCCUUGGUUUGCUUGGAGCUUUUGUUGCCGGCUUCACUGACUGCACCGAUUUGAAUGGAAAACUUGGGUCUACUACAACGAACAUGACAACGCUUGUAACACGACGUACUUUCGGUCAACUUUUCCACAACUGUAAAAUGAAAAGUGUGAAGAGGACAGAGAAGGUUUCAUGAUAUUAUGUGCAUUUACCAUCAUCCUGUCUUUAUGUAUGAGUCUUUACGGAUGGCAAUGCGCAAAAGGAACUGAUCGGCGUCAUCAAUCUGUCCUCGAAAAAUUAUGCAAUACAUUCUGCUGGUCAGCUGGAGCUUCAGCAUUAUUCUUAUUCCUUUUAAUAGAAUCCAAAGACUUCUCCUUCUUAUUUUUUCAUUGUCUUUGUGCACAAAUGGCUUUUUGCUUGGCAGUUGCAUACUUUCGUCUGAUCACCUUAAUGCAAUUUAAUAGAGAAUUCGAAGGGUUUACUUUGUAUUAACUCGAAGUACAAACCCCUGUUAAUGAUGCAAAUGGAACAACAAAUUUAUACAGAAAUAAAAGCUCCAUAUUGUUGAAUUUAAUAGGUUAUGUGUUAGUGGUUGAACCAGUAAACAAAAUCUUACCAAAAGUUGAAAUGAUAUUAUUGUAAUCAAAAUUAUUGAUCAAAAUGUGUAGACUAGCCAUUCUAGGUGCAGACAAGAAUACGUGAACCGUUGUUCACGAACAGAGACAUGAUAACAGAUGGCGCUGCGGAGGCCCAUCAGUGAGCAGUACCAACGCCAUCUGUUAUCAUUUCUCUGUUCACAAAAAUAACAAAAAUAAAACCGUUAAGAAAAAUGUAUACGUUUAUCCAUGCAAUUUAUUCGACUCAAUAACGUUGUACAACUCAAUGGCGCAAUAGUUAACGCGUCUGAUUUCCUUUAAAGUAGCACAAGGGGUAUUCUAACCGUUUUAGAACUUUUUCAACUUUGGCAUUCAAUGAUCUUUCAAAUUUUCAGAGUUUUGAUAACAAAAUUUGUAGUGUCUUCUACCAAAAAUAAUGCAAACAAUUUCUUUAAUUAUCAAUUUUUAAGGAGAAAAAGUUGAUUAUUGUGUUUUCGCUGGUAAUUCUGACCACCAAAAUUAACUCAGCUAGUAAAGCUGACAAUUUGAACUGUCACAUCAAAAAAUUCAAAUUUAAAUGUUUUUCACAUUAAUCAUCUGACUUCACUUAAUUUAGUUGUUUUCAUUAAGAAAAUACUAAAAUAGCAAAACAUUGCAAUGGUCAGAAGUAUCAGCCUGGUCAGAAUACCCCUCCGCCACUUUACGAAAUUAUCAGUUGCUAGUGCGAAGCUUUGAAACUCAACCGCAAACAGAUUCGAACCGAUUGUCAGAUUUUUUAACAAAUUAGGAAAGCUGAUUUAAUCGGUUCAAACAAAGUGCAGAGCUUUUUACUACCACAUGCUCAUCUAGAUCAUUUUCAUUAUACGGUACUCGUCAGCAUAACCCCACU